ACGCGACCCCAGGUCAGGCGGGA
rnacentral:rRNA from 3 species